rnacentral:rRNA from 1 species
CUCCGGUUGAUCCUGCCGGACCCGACUGCUAUCAGAGUGGGACUAAGCCAUGCGAGUCAACAUAGCAAUAUGUGGCAUACGGCUCAGUAACACGUAGUCAACAUGCCCAGGGGACGUGGAUAACCUCGGGAAACUGAGGAUAAACCGCGAUAGGUCAUCACUUCUGGAAUGGGUAAUGACUUAAAUCUAUAUGGCCCCUGGAUUGGACUGCGGCCGAUCAGGCUGUUGGUGAGGUAAUGGCCCACCAAACCUGUAACCGGUACGGGCUCUGAGAGGAGGAGCCCGGAGAUGGGCACUGAGACAAGGGCCCAGGCCCUAUGGGGCGCAGCAGGCGCGAAACCUCUGCAAUAGGCGAAAGCUUGACAGGGUUACUCUGAGUGAUUUCCGUUAAGGAGAUCUUUUGGCACCUCUAAAAAUGGUGCAGAAUAAGGGGUGGGCAAGUCUGGUGUCAGCCGCCGCGGUAAUACCAGCACCCCGAGUGGUCGGGACGCUUAUUGGGCCUAAAGCAUCCGUAGCCGGUUCUACAAGUCUUCCGUUAAAUCCACCUGCUUAACAGAUGGGCUGCGGAAGAUACUAUAGAGCUAGGAGGCGGGAGAGGCAAGCGGUACUCGAUGGGUAGGGGUAAAAUCCGUUGAUCCAUUGAAGACCACCAGUGGCGAAGGCGGCUUGCCAGAACGCGCUCGACGGUGAGGGAUGAAAGCUGGGGGAGCAAACCGGAUUAGAUACCCGGGUAGUCCCAGCUGUAAACGAUGCAGACUCGGUGAUGAGUUGGCUUAUUGCUAACUCAGUGCCGCAGGGAAGCCGUUAAGUUUGCAGGCUGGGCAGUACGGUCGCAAGACUGAAACUUAAACUCUAAUGCGGGGGAGCA